CGCUGCUGGGCGGCCCCCAGGGACGGCGGGGGGCCGGGGGGAGCGGCGGCGGCGGCGGCAGCACCCGCAGCAGUGCCAGCGAGCCCCCCCGUGACUCCCCCAGCAGCCCCGAGGACGAGGCGGGCGAAGGGGGCGAAGGGGGGGACGAGGCGGGCGACCGCAAGAGCCCCUGGCAGAAGAGGGAGGAGCGGCCGCUGAUGGUCUUCAAUGUCAAGGCGGGGGGGGCCGGCAGCGCCCCCCGGGCCAGCGGCACCUCAAAGCUGGCAUAGGAGCGGGGGGGGGGGGGGGGGGGGGGGGGAGCACCAUCGCCCCCCCCAUUUGCCCCCCCAGCCCUCUGCUUUGGAUUUUAUUUGUCUUUCUAAAUGUUUUAUACGGGGCAAGGCAGAAGAAGGGCGAGCAGGGCCGUGCCUGCAGCGGGGGGGGGGAUGCAGCCCCCUCCCCCCACGUGUUCGUUAGAUGCCAUUAAUAUAUAAAAAUCCCGUUGA